GCCAUUAGGUGUAGGCGCU
rnacentral:snRNA from 1 species